AUGCUUUACGGCUUAGAAUCGGGACUUCAACGACGUUUUGAACGUCAUGGAGCAUAUGAGAUGUUCCAGGAGUUGAAGUUAAUAUUUCAAGCAAAUGCCCGGGUUGAGAGAUAUGAAGUCUCCAAUAAGUUCUACAGCUGCAAGAUGGAGGAGAAUAGUUCUGUCAGUGAGCAUAUACUCAGAAUGUCUGGGUAUAACAAUCACUUGAUUCAACUGGGAGUUAAUCUUCCGGAUGAUAGCAUCAUUGACAGAAUUCUUCAAUCACUGCCACCAAGCUACAAGAGCUUCUACCACUUGGGAAGAGGUCACAUAGGUGUAUCUAUUAAAGCAAAGCUUUACCGUCUCUUGGAACAAAGAUCGGCUACAUGCCCAUAUUUUGUUAUUCCUUUGUGGAGAGGAAGUGGAUAUACCACCAUGUUUAUGCAAGUCCAGCUGCCACACAUGAUCUUCACAGGGCUUGAAGACUACAAAGCAAGAGGAACUCAAGCAAGCCCUUACUAUACAAUCACUCAUUUCACAGAGUUUGCAGAAACCAAGGAUACAGUGCUUGUCCGAGGAGACGUUGUCUUCACCAGCAAACUAACCGAUGCAGAGGCGAAGUGUCUUUUAGUGACCGCGCACUCCUUCUACCUGAACGAUGUGCGGUACAAGCUCGUGGAGCGUUUCAACAAGGAAACACAUGAUUUCGAGUUCAAAGACGUCCUUCAGGCGCUUGAAAUGCCGUCCAUGUGA
rnacentral:rRNA from 1 species